UNGGCAUUACUGGCUUAUGGUGUGGCAGGU
rnacentral:piRNA from 1 species